rnacentral:rRNA from 1 species
UACGUAGGGCGCAAGCGUUGUCCGGAAUUAUUGGGCGUAAAGAGCUCGUAGGCGGCUUGUCACGUCGAUUGUGAAAGCCCGAGGCUUAACCUCGGGUCUGCAGUCGAUACGGGCUAGCUAGAGUGUGGUAGGGGAGAUCGGAAUUCCUGGUGUAGCGGUGAAAUGCGUAGAUAUCAGGAGGAAUACCGGUGGCGAAAGCGACUCUCUGGACGGCAACUGACGCUGAGGCACGAAAGCGUGGGGAGCAAACAGG